UGUAAGCACAUGCCUUAAAACGGUAAAGCCGCGAAUGGCUCGGUAUAACAGCCACUGUUUAUUAAACUCUAGUUAUCUACUUGGAUAACUGUGGCAAUUCUAGAGCUAAUACAUGCACGCAGGCUCGGACCUUUUGGGAAGAGCGCAUUUAUUAGACCAAAACCAAUCGGGCUUCGGCCUGUGUUUUGGUGACUCUGAAUAACUAAGUCGAUCGCACAGUCUUAGUACUGGCGACGUAUUUUUCAAAUGUCUGCCUUAUCAACUUUCGAUGGUAGGUUAUACGCCUACCAUGGUUAUAACGGGUAACGGAGAAUUAGGGUUCGACUCCGGAGAGGGAGCCUGAGAAAUGGCUACCACAUCCAAGGAAGGCAGCAGGCGCGCAAAUUACCCAAUCCCAGAACGGGGAGGUAGUGACGAAAAAUAACGAGGUAAUCCACUUUGUGGCUUGCCAUCGGAAUGGGCACAAUAUAAA
rnacentral:rRNA from 1 species